ACCUUUGCAGCGUCGAAUGGUUCGCGAAAGCGACUAAUAGGGAAUUGGGUGCGAAUCCCAAACAGUCCGGCUGCUGUAUGUUGCCUCCUUAGACACAAACAGAUGCCACUGAGUGUAGAAAAGCUCGGGAAGGUGUUUGUGAUCAGGUAACGAGUCAGAAGACCUGCCAUUUUGAAUGACUUCAGA
rnacentral:ncRNA from 15 species